UGGUUGGUAGCUCAAUGGUUAAGGCAUUGGCCUACUGAGCAGAAGGUUGUGAGUACAAAUCCCAAUACAAAUAA